GACGAACGCUGGCGGCGUGCCUAAUACAUGCAAGUAGGACGCAGUUGCGAACGGGUGAGUAACGCGUAGGAAACGAGCUAUUAGAGGGGGAUCACAAUUGAAAACGAAAGCGAAUACCGCAUACUAGUAGAUGGUCCUGCGGUGUAUUUGUUAGUAGGUAGGGGAAUGGCCUACCUAGGCAACGAUACAUAGCCGGCCUGGGAGGGUGACCGGCCACACUGGGACUGAGACACGGCCCAGACACCUACGGGAGGCAGCAGUAGGGAAUCUUCGGCAAUGGGGGGAACCCUGACCGAGCAACGCCGCGUGAGUGAAUGAGGUUUGCGGAUCGUAAAGGUAUGUUGUUAAGGAAGCGGUACUUACCCAGAAAGGGACGGCUAACUACGUGCCAGCAGCCGCGGUAAUUC
rnacentral:rRNA from 1 species